rnacentral:lncRNA from 1 species
GAAAUGUGUACGCAUGUACUUCAUGAUCAUAUAUCAAUGUAUAUACAAAUCAAAAUAAAUUGUAAAAGCUUGUUUUGACAUCAUCAAUAAAUUAAAAAGGUUUACUCAUAUACAUAUUCAAGGUGGCCAGGUGUAUUUACAUCCUUGGUUUAACCCAUACCACUACUAAAGAAUGAAUAGGUCCAUAGGGGGAACGUAGUGGUUAGGGAAGAAAUGAUGAUUUAAUGAUUCACAAAUGAUAGUGACAUUGAGUCAGAGAACACAGUCUUGCAAAAAAACUUUCAUUCUGAAAUAAUGAAAUGUAUUUUGAUGUGGUAUUCAUAUAAUAUUACAAAAUGCUCCUUUUAUUAGGUACAAUCAAAGCCCAAGUGUUAUUAUUGCAUAACUCAUCAAUAUGUUAGAUUUUCAAUUAUGAAUUCGGACAAGUGAGUUAAGAGUUCGGACAAGCUGAUUUUCUUGCCACUUGUCCGAAGGGACAAGUUAGAAAAAAUGUUAAUGUAGAGGCCUGU